AUCCUUUAUUAUAGAUUUCUACCAUGAAGUAGAGAGAGAGAGAGAGAGAGAGAGGGGGGGGGAAGAAAAAGAAACAAGAUGAAGAGCAUGUGUGUUUGUCUUGCAAUAUUUCAUACUUAUCUUGUGACAGGAUAUCCGAAGGAUAAAUGUGUACCAGACGGGGACAUAGGGCAAUGAGGCCAAUAUGGGUCACAUGCUGGGUACAAUUUGUGAAGGAUAACCAAGAUUUGAAGGAAUGAUGUGAUAUGAUUUGGAUUGUGUAUAUUUAUAUUAUAUUUACUAGAGUGUGUAAAAUAACAUUGCUUGACUGGCAUAUUACGUAAUCUACUCACUGAGCGGUGGUUUGCUCAUCUCUCACCUACUUUGUUUUUCAGAU